rnacentral:rRNA from 1 species
UGGGGAAUUUUGGACAAUGGGCGCAAGCCUGAUCCAGCCAUGCCGCGUGCGGGAAGAAGGCCUUCGGGUUGUAAACCGCUUUUGUCAGGGAAGAAAUCUUCUGAGUUAAUACCUCGGGAGGAUGACGGUACCUGAAGAAUAAGCACCGGCUAACUACGUGCCAGCAGCCGCGGUAAUACGUAGGGUGCAAGCGUUAAUCGGAAUUACUGGGCGUAAAGCGUGCGCAGGCGGUUUUGUAAGACAGAGGUGAAAUCCCCGGGCUCAACCUGGGAACUGCCUUUGUGACUGCAAGGCUUGAGUGCGGCAGAGGGGGAUGGAAUUCCGCGUGUAGCAGUGAAAUGCGUAGAUAUGCGGAGGAACACCGAUGGCGAAGGCAAUCCCCCUGGGCCUGCACUGGCGCUCAUGCACGAAAAGCGUGGGGAGCAAAACAGGAUUAGAUACCCUGGUAGUCCACGCCCUAAAACGAUGUCAAACUGGUUGUUGGGAAGGUUCCUUCUCAGUAACGUAGCUAACGCGUGAAGUUGGACCGCCUGGGGAGUACGGCCGCAAGGUUGAAACUUAAAUAAUUGACGGGGUCAUAGCUGUUUCCU